GAUCAUGGCUCAGGACGAACGCUGGCGGCGUGCUUAACACAUGCAAGUCGAACGGACGAAGCCCCUUCGGGGGCCGAGUUAGUGGCGGACGGGUGAGUAACGCGUGAGCAACCUGCCCAUAAGAGGGGGGAUAACAUCGGGAAACCGAUGCUAAUACCGCAUAAGACCACGAUAGCACAUGCUAAUGAGGUCAAAGGAGCAAUCCGCUUAUGGAGGGGCUCGCGUCCCAUUAGGUAGAUGGUGAGG
rnacentral:rRNA from 1 species